rnacentral:Y_RNA from 1 species
GGCUGGUCAGAGUGCAGUGGUGUUUACAACUAAUUGAUCACAAACAGUUACAGAUUUCUUUGUUCCAUCUCAAUUCCCACUGCUUUACUCAAUUAGCCUUAA